rnacentral:rRNA from 1 species
AUUGAACGCUGGCGGCAGGCCUAACACAUGCAAGUCGAGCGAGCGGCGGACGGGUGAGUAAUGUAUGUGGAUCUGCCCGAUAGAGGGGGAUAACUACUGGAAACGGUAGCUAAUACCGCAUACUCUCGGAUGUACCCAUAUGGGAUGAGCUAGUAGGUGAGGUAAAGGCUCACCAAGGCAACGAUCCGUAGCUGGUUUGAGAGGACGACCAGCCACACUGGGACUGAGACACGGCCCAGACUCCUACGGGAGGCAGCAGUGGGGAAUUUUGGACAAUGGGCGAAACCCUGAUCCAGCCAUCCCGCGUGUAUGAUGAAGGCCUUCGGGUUGUAAAGUACUUUUAGCAGAGAAGCGGUAUCUGCAGAAUAAGCACCGGCUAACUACGUGCCAGCAGCCGCGGUAAUAC